rnacentral:rRNA from 1 species
GACGAACGCUGGCGGCGGGCUUAACACAUGCAAGUCGAACGGAAAGGCCCUGCUUUUGUGGGGUGCUCGAGUGGCGAACGGGUGAGUAACACGUGAGUAACCUGCCCUUGACUUUGGGAUAACUUCAGGAAACUGGGGCUAAUACCGGAUAGGAGCUCCUGCUGCAUGGUGGGGGUUGGAAAGUUUCGGCGGUUGGGGAUGGACUCGCGGCUUAUCAGCUUGUUGGUGGGGUUGUGGCUUACCAAGGCUUUGACGGGUAGCCGGCCUGAGAGGGUGACCGGCCACAUUGGGACUGAGGUACGGCCCAGACUCCUACGGGAGGCAGCAGUGGGGAAUAUUGCACAAUGGGCGGAAGCCUGAUGCAGCAACGCCGCGUGCGGGAUGACGGCCUUCGGGUUGUAAACCGCUUUCGCCUGUGACGAAGCGUGAGUGACGGUAAUGGGUAAAGAAGCACCGGCUAACUACGUG